rnacentral:miRNA from 1 species
UAUUAGGUUGGUGCAAAAGUAAUUGCAGUUUUUGCCAAUAACUUUUAAUGGCAAAAACCCCAAUUAUUUUUGCAUCAACCUAAUACUUA